rnacentral:sRNA from 1 species
UUUUUUGACCUGUUUUUUUUUUAACUUUUAGAAAUCUAUGAUCCAGGACUUGAUGAAAUUCAACAAUGUUUAGCCCAGGAGCAAAGUGAUGGUAACUCUACUCCCACACACUCAGAUUGUUUUAUUGCUUUGUCAGUCACAACUGGUGUAGCAUCAUGGCGUGUGACUACAUAUGGUUCUUGGUUUAUACAGGCUGUAGUCUUUGUUUUCACACAUUUUGCUCAUCUCUGUGAUCUCAAUGAGUUGAUGCUGAAAGUCAAUGAUCUUGUUUCAAAAGCUAUAACGUCCAAAGGAUUCAAGCAAGUUCCAGAAAAUUAUUACACGUUGAGGAAAAAAUUCUUUUUUUUUCCAGGUCUUGGGGAAGAAAGACAUUAAAGUAGGCUAGGUUCAAUAAUCCUAAGUUUGUAUGAAGUAGGAAGCUUACAUUGAUUUGUUAAUCCAUGAAAAAAGGAUUUAGGUAAAACAAAUGUUUAAAAUGUAGAAAUCAAAUAAACCAUCAUCUAAUUUCCACGCCAUUAA